rnacentral:rRNA from 1 species
GGGUGGGUAACGCGUGGGUAAUCUACCUCGUAGUUCGGGAUAACAGGCCGAAAGGCUUGCUAAUACCGGAUGAGUUCAUGCUUAUGCAUAUAGGCAUGAAGAAAGGGCUAGCCCGCUAUGAGAUGAGCCCGCGUCCCAUUAGCUAGUUGGUGAGGUAACGGCUCACCAAAGCGACGAUGGGUAGCCGGCCUGAGAGGGUGGACGGCCACACUGGGACUGAGACACGGCCCAGACUCCUACGGGAGGCAGCAGUAGGGAAUAUUGCGCAAUGGACGGAAGUCUGACGCAGCGACGCCGCGUGAGCGAUGAAGGUCUUCGGAUCGUAAAGCUCUGUCCUUGGGGAAGAAGGUCUUCGGACUUGACGGUACCCAAGAAGAAAGCCCCGGCUAACUACGUGCCAGCAGCCGCGGUAAUACGUAGGGGGCGAGCGUUGUCCGGAAUUACUGGGCGUAAAGGGUGCGUAGGCGGCGCUUUAAGUCGGAUGUGAAAGCCCGCGGCUUAACCGCGGAAUGGCAUUCGAAACUGGAGGGCUUGAGUGUCGGAGAGGGUAGUGGAAUUCCCAGUGUAGCGGUGAAAUGCGUAGAUAUUGGGAGGAACACCAGUGGCGAAGGCGACUACCUGGACGAUAACUGACGCUGAGGCGCGAAAGCUGGGGGAGCGAACGGGAUUAGAUACCCUGGUAGUCCUAGCCGUAAACGAUGGGUACUAGGUGUGGGUGGUUUCGAUACCAUCCGUGCCGUAGUUAACGCAUUAAGUACCCCGCCUGGGGAGUACGUGCGCAAGCAUGAAACUCAAAGGAA